UUCAUUUUAGGAUCUACUGAUGUUCAAGGAUGUGUCCAUAGACUUCUCCCAGGAGGAGUGGGAUUGACUAGACUCUGCUCAGAGGACUUUGUACAGGGAGGUGAUGUUGGAGAACUACAGCAAUCUGGUGUCUGUAGGAGCCACGUGGAGCGGUUGGUGCAGAGCAGAUGUGGAACGGGACCAGGAGGGACUGGCGGGUUUAAGGAGGAGAGGGAAUUCCUAGAUCCUGAUCAGAG